rnacentral:rRNA from 1 species
CAGCAGCCACGGGAAUACGGAGGAUCCGAGCGUUAUCCGGAAUUAUUGGGUUUAAAGGGUGCGUAGGCGGAUAGAUAAGUCAGUGGUGAAAGACGGUGGCUCAACCAUCGCAGUGCCGUUGAUACUGUUUAUCUUGAAUAUGGAUGAGGUAGGCGGAAUGUGGCAAGUAGCGGUGAAAUGCAUAGAUAUGCCACAGAACACCGAUUGCGAAGGCAGCUUACCAAGGCAAAAUUGACGCUGAGGCACGAAAGCGUGGGGAUCGAACAGGAUUAGAUACCCCCGUAGUCCCUGUCUCUUAUAA